UACGAAGGGGGCUAGCGUUGUUCGGAAUCACUGGGCGUAAAGGGCGCGUAGGCGGCUUUGUAAGUCGGGGGUGAAAGCCUGUGGCUCAACCACAGAAUUGCCUUCGAUACUGCAUGGCUUGAGACCGGAAGAGGUAAGUGGAACUGCGAGUGUAGAGGUGAAAUUCGUAGAUAUUCGCAAGAACACCAGUGGCGAAGGCGGCUUACUGGUCCGGAUCUGACGCUGAGGCGCGAAAGCGUGGGGAGCAAACAGGAUUAGAAACCCCUGUAGUCC
rnacentral:rRNA from 1 species